UACGGAGGGUGCAAGCGUUAUCCGGAUUCACUGGGUUUAAAGGGAUCGUAGGCGGAUAUUUAAGUCAGUGGUGAAAUCUUCUCGCUUAACGAGGAAACUGCCAUUGAUACUAUUUAUCUUGAAUUUUGUUGAGGUUAGCGGAAUAGGUCACGUAGCGGUGAAAUGCAUAGAUAUGACCUAGAACACCUAUUGCGUAGGCAGCUAACUAAGCAAUAAUUGACGCUGAGGGUCGAAAGCGUGGGGAUCAAACAGG
rnacentral:rRNA from 1 species